UAGUAAUAAAAAUUGGGAUGUUACACAUUUAGAGCAAUAAUUUCCUUGUGCUCAAAACUUUUUAGGGCUGGCCUUUUGCAGUGAGAUUCAACAUUAAGAUUCGCCAAUUGCACAUGCUUAAGAAUAGGGAUCGAAUCCCCGUUAGUAUUUUCCCCAAUCAUCUCAUCUGUUGCAUUAACCAAAGGCAUAUGCAAUGAAGUUCUUACCACGGUGAGGUCAACUUGCUUUGCGACUUCACUCCCUUUCUACACGGUUUCAUCCACAUUAAUCAAUCGAUGCUCAAUGUGAUCAACUGGUUUCAACGUGUUGGUUGUGUCCAAGUUGACCCUUUUCUUUAGUACAUAUUGCUAUAAAAGUUUCUUUGAUGCUGGUAAUCUUUAUCCAAAGGUUUCUUUCUGAGAACAAUUGUCUUAUGGGGAUGGAUCCAUUUAAAAGUUGAAACGGAAUGACCUAUGAUAAAUCGUAUCCAUAUCCAUUAAAAUUCUUGCAUAGUGAUCGAAAAGUUUGUUAUGUGUUGGAUCGUCUAGAUUUAAUGGUGUUGCAAUGACACUGGCAAUUUUAAAGUGUGUCUGAUCAUGCCAAUAUUCCUGUGGCAAAUCAAUUAAAUGGAUCCAAACUUAUGCAUGAGUUUGACGUUGAGUAAUAUGAUUAAAGUCCUUCUGCCAUUCAGAUAUUUGAAGGACAGCCAAACAUAAAUCUCUGUAGUUUGAAAACUUGAAAUUACAAAACCCACGUUUGAGAUAAAUUAUUUUUCACCUGUAGUAUUCCACAACUUGGAAAGCUUAAGCUUCAGUCAUUCGCACAGGGGCGGAUCUAGAUAUGAUGGUUUGAUGUGGCAAAAUUAUAAAAGAAUUUUUUUAGUGUACAUUUGAUUUAUAAUAUAAUAGCAAAGUAGCUAAAGCAAGUUUGUUACAUAUCUAUGUCUCAGGUUCAAAUCUCAUCCACCACACUUUUGAUGAUUUUCUCCUUAAAAUAUUAAAAAAAAGUUUAAAUAGAUCACACAUUAAUUUGUGAAACAUUGUCAAAUUAUGUGAUAUAUAUUAUGUUUUCGGUCUACUAUAUUAACUAAAAAAAUUUGGCUGUAAUCUGGUGUGGCAGCUGCCACACCAUGCCUAACACUAGAUCCGCCCAUGUUCGCGCUAUACAUCUUAUCUCCUUUGUUUAGAACCAAUCGACCAUGAAUUCUCAUAUGCAUAAUGGGUAAUCUUGAUACAUAAAGAAUCUAAAGUAUUAAUCUGAUUUUGAGAAUCCAUAUUGCUCAGCCAAUUGAAAAAUUGAUACACACGAAAAGCAAAACGAAAUUGUUCACCCAAAACGAUCAAAGAAAGAUCACGUAACCAAGUAACAAACAUCAAUCAUUAUUGUAACAAAACAAUGGAUUCCCCAAUUUCAGUAGACUAAAGCCUGUUUGUUUCAGAUAUUUUUUUCUAAAAAAAACACUUUUGUUAUUUUUAAGUGUUUGUUUAAGAUUUUAAAAAAAUAAUCUAUUUUGACUCUAAAAUGAAAGGCUAUUAGGAUUAAUUUUUCACAAAUAUUUUUUCUUCAAAAACAAAGAGGUAACAUGUGCAAGUAAAAUGAAGAAUUCAUCUGCAUAGUCAUAUAGUGUCUUUAUUUAUUAUAGUAGGUAAUUAUGAUUAAACCAUAAUAUUAUUGUUAUGCAUUUCUUCUGAGUUCAUGAUGGCAAUAUAGUUGCAUAAUAUAACAAUACAUAUGAUCUUUUCAUUGAAAUUGACAACUUAAUCUAAAUCGUACUCAGCAGUGCAUUGACAAGUUAAAUUAAUGCACUUCGCAAAUAGAUCAGUUGGACACAGAUCUGGUGGACAUUCAUUGCUAAAAAGGCAUGGAAGAACAUCAGGGAUGCCUAAUAAGAAUAAAAUAAAUGUUAGUACAUAUGAUGUAAUAUUAUAUAAAAAUUAAAGGGCUAAAUAAAUUUUUACAUGCAUGUUGUUGUUUGAAGAAGUUAAAACGAAUUUAGAUUAAUCAAAAGAUCAACACUUCCAGCACGAGGUGUGUGCUUGGAAGAAAUGGUUAAAUCAAAAGAUAACAAGGUCAACUUAAGAACAUUAUAAGAAACUUCAAAAAUGUUGAACGAACUUUAUUUUUAGUCCUCAUAAAAAAAAUUGACAUAUUUUUAACACAUAAUAAACUAAAUAUUAAUUUUUCUAAACAUCAAAUUUUGACCUAGAAUUCAAAUUUUGAACUAAUAUUUCUCAGAGGAACUUUGUAUUAUUAUGUUCUAAAUAAAUAUGUCAAGAAUUAUUUAAAUGUUUAAAAAUUUAAGUAUAAUUAAUCAAAUUUUAAUUUUACAAGGACUAAAAUUUUAUGUUCUAAAUUUUUUUAUUAAGACCAAAACAUGUCACUUUUCUUAUGAUGACUAAAAACAAAAUUAACUAUAUAUAUAAGGAUAAAAAACUUAUUUAACCCUAAGUUAAAUUAAAAAGCUAAAAAUGAUAUGAAACGUUACUCACUUUGGUUGGUUGCGACCAUAAAUAGAGAAACAAAGAUGAGUAAACCAUAAAAGAAACAUAGAAUUCGAGCCAUACUUUUUUUUUUUCUCUUUUGCAUGUAAUAAAUGGAAAACAUUUUGAUCAAUUUAUACAAAAAAUAAUGUUUUGUGUACUUCAAUGAAAUAGGUUUUAACCCUUAAAGGUUACAAGAAGGCGUUCAAAAAAUUGAAAUUAUUGGUAAAUAUUUCGAUAUUACAUCAAUUUGUCAUGUUUAUCUCUUUGCAAUUUCAAUUAAUCACUUAACUUUAGUAAAUAGAUCAUAAAAAAUCUUAAUAAUCAUCAAAGAUCAUUAUACUUUUUAUUAAACUUUUAAUAUAUGGUUUCUGUUAGUUUUUUUUUUUUUUUUUUUUUUUGCAUUUUCCCUGUUGUUUCCGUGGUGGUUGUGAUGCGUGAUGGUGAGGUGUGGUGAUGUGGUGGUGGUGAUGAUGUGUGGUGGUGGUGGUGAUUUGGUUUGAUGUGGUGGUGGUUUUGCGUGGCUGUAUGUGGGGGUUGACUUUGUGUGGUUUAGAUGGGUGGUCAUGGAUAAUUUUGGACUGGGAUUUGGUGACAGAAUGCUUUGCGGACGGGAUCUAUAAAAGGGGGUGGUUGGUGUUUUUUUUUUUACAGUAAAACAACUUCACUCAAUAGAAUAAGCAACAAUCAUUAUAAACAGAUUGAGACACCUGAAUUUGGGCAUUCCCCAUCCAUUGUCGAAAAUCAAAGUUGAGAGAAAAACUAACACAAACAUAGUUGAUCAUACACAGAGAUUGUUCAAAAGCCAAAAGGACAUAACCAAACCAAGAACGAAAAACUAGCAUCAGUUCAUUCAACCUCUUACAAACUCGGAACCUAGCAAUAUAAGAAUGAGAAUCCAAUCUCUUUUUCAAUCCAGUUACAGAUAGUAUCUUUGACUUGUGUUCGCACAUUUUGACUAUCAUUGGUCUCAACAUUGUCCAAUUUUUCCAGAUGUUUGAUAGCUAGUGGAUGAGUAAAGAAGUUGUUGCAAUGGGAGUCAGCCUCGUAAGCUUUCUUAGUAUAAAUGGGUUGCCAACAUACAUUGGCUACUUUGUUCCAAAAGACAUAACCCUUUUGGGGAUUUUUGUCAAACAACAAAAAUGCAUCCUUAAACUAGAAAAAACAGAGACAUAAACUAGAACAUAAACAAACAGCAGAAGCCAUAUCUGAAGGGCCCAAGGAUUACAAACCGUAAACACUACAUGGUGGCUUUGGAGGUGGUCGAACGAGUGCCAAGAGAUAAAGUGUAGCAGAAGUAAUGGACUCAUCAAUUUUGUCAAGCUUCUCGUAGUUCGGCGGUGGUGGCUCGGGUGGAGGUCGUGUAGUCAGGAGAAGAAAAGCAUGUUUGGUUGUCGGUGACAAGAGAAGAUCACCUCUUAGGGUCGAAUCCACUAACAGAUCUAGACUUUUGUUGUGGUUGUCGCAAGCAGGAAAGAUGGAGGUUGUGGAUGAUUUUUGUGGAAGGGUCAUGGUGGUAUGGGAAGGCAUAUGACUGAGGCAUGAUGGCAGUGGGGUGGUUAUUGAGAAAUAUGGCCUUGAAAGCAAAGGGGAGGGACUAGGAACACCUAGGUGUGGCGACCCAUAUGGUCGGGAAAGGCAGAUCACGAAGAUCUGGGUUGAUUUGCCGUCGUUGAACCAUGGUGAAACCCUAGUUUGGGUGACUGAAAGCAUGUUAAGUUUAGAUAGAGAUGGUAUGCUUUCUCUCUAAAAACACAUAAGGGGGUGGUUGGUGUUGCUUAGGUGAGGAGGUGGGUGUUUUAGUGGUAGUUGUGUAGGUGAUUUCUUUUAGAGGCCGCCUCUGUUAUUCAGGUCCAUUUUCGUCGUCGCUAGCUCUUGUUUGAGUUUUAGGGUGUUAAGGUGUUUAGGGUGCUUUGAGGGUGGGUGUCCUUCCAGAUGAGAAUUUUUUCCUUUUUGAUUGAUGUUUGCACCACCACAAAUCAUGUGAUUUGUGUUACAUAUUGUGUGCUGGAUUUUGGUGGGCUAAUCACUUUUGCUUCGAGAUUGGUAGUUGGAGUCUAGCUACAAUCUUGUUUGCCUGGCUAUGGUGUUUCUUUGGUGGACCAGGGGUGAUGGGUUCCCGUAUCAUUUGGUCAUGAAGUCUGGUGGGACGAUCUCUUUUGAUUCGACAUCGGAAAUCAAUUUUUUUUUCAAGUUUUUUUUGGGCUUUUUUUGUGUUCUUUCGGUGGGAAGGAGGUUGAGAGGUGGUGGAUGUUGGGUGAACUUUAGAAUAGUGGCUCAACUUUGGUGAUGAGGAUGGGUGUUUCAUUUAGAGGGGAGUUAUUUUGGGAUGAGUAGUGGCGAUGGGUGGUUAUGGAUAUCGUUUUCCAAUGGUCUGUUUUAGGUGGUGAUGCUUAUUUUGGUGGGUGUUGAAGGUAGAGUUUGGCUAGGUGUUGUGUGUUGGGAUGUCUUUUAUGGUGUUCAUUUUUGUGCGUUCCGCCUUUAUACGGCGCCUUUGAUUUGUAUUCUUUGAAUCACUGAUCAUUGUUCGUCUUGAGCAGGGAUUAGGUUUUUAAAUAAAAUUUGUUGUUCCAAACAAAAUAAUGGUAGAUAAGAGACACUAAAAAUAUUUGGGUAGAAAUUUAAACAUUGCUGACGAAUGAUAAACAAAAUCUUUGGGUAGAAAUUAUUCACCAACAGGUGAAAAUAUUUAUUAUUGACAAUUUUAUGAGAUCAAAGACAAAAAAAAUAUUGUAACAUCCUAAGUAGAUUCAUAAAAAACUGUCGGGAGUCGAGCGCCGCAACCCAAACUCAUCCUCAUCUCACUAAAUUCCUUCAAUUGAACAGAUCAUCAUCACUUGUUAGUCCUUAUGUGAUUUCAAGUGUGUGUUUGGUUUGUUUUCUUUGAGCUUUUGUUGCCUUUUUCAUUGAUAUGUGUUUCAAUUCAUAUCCACUUUUUGCAUAUGUUUGGAUAUGAUGUGUUAAAAUAGGUUACUCCUUUGUUUGUUUAUCGGUGCUUGUUCAUAAAGAAGCAUUAUUCGUCUUUCAGAAAUUAAAAAUGUCCUUAACCUGUUUGAUAAACUGCUCAUAAAGAAAUAGCUUUGUUUUUCCCUUUUAAUAAGGAGUAUUGAUUUUCCCUUUUAAUAAGGAGUACUUUUUCCCUUUCAAUAACGAGUUUUUGUGGGCUAUUAGAGACAAUGAGUUGCAUAUCUUGGAAUUGUCGUGGUCUAGGAAAUCCACGGAUGGUUUGCACUUUCAAAAAGCUUUUACGAGAUAAAAAUCCCACUUGUGUAUUUCUCUCAGAAACUAAGAAAAAAGAUUUUGAGAUGAAUAAGUUUUGAAAUAUACAAGGUUUAUAUGGGGUUGUUGUAGUUAAUUGUACUGGAGAAGGUAAAAGGCGUGUUGGCGGUCUUGCAAUGUUUUGAAAGGAAGAGGUUGAAGUGGAGGUAUUAUCCAUUUCCUCUAAUCAUAUUGAUGUCUUAAUUACUAUCGAGGAUGGAGAUGAGAAUUGGAGGCUUACUGGCAUAUAUGGUUUUCCAGAAUCUCAAAUGAAGUAUAAAACAUGUGAGUUAACUAAUCAGUUAGCACUGAUGGAAAGCACUGAUAAGGGGCUUUAAUGGGUGAUUUCAAUCCGAUUCUUUCACAUGAUGAGAAGGAAGGUGGGAAUUUUGGCAGCUCUCAAAUAAUUUCAAUGUUUCGAGACACCGUCCAAAAUCACAAUCUUUCUGACUUCGGCUUUGAGGGUGACAAAUUUACCUAGCAUAAUAGACAAGAUGGUGCUUAUAAUAGUAAGGCUCGCCUUGAUAGGAUGAUAGCUACACCACCCUAGUCCUCGUUUUAUCAUUUGGCCUCAGUGGUGCACUUAACAAGGUAUGCUUGAAAUCAUUUGCCUUUGUGGUUGCGACUUUCUUCUAGGAAGCCAAAGAAAAAACAAAAUUUUCUUAAACUACAACGAUUUGAAGAAUGUUGGUUGCAUGAUAGUGGAACUUUGGAAGCAGUUACAGAUGCUUGGGAGAUGGAAGGGGAUUUUAUGCCUGAUAAAAGCAAUGAUAUUGUGAACGAUCUUUGUAAAUGGAGUAAGGAUCAUUUUGGCGAUGUUCCCAACCAGAUAAAAAUUACUCAAGAGAAGUUGGAUAAUCUUAAUAAACAAUCACACCAAGAGGGAGUAAUGUCUGAAAUUGGAUAAGUGGAGGCUAGAUUGAAUGAUUUACUGGAAAGUGAGAAAAUUUGGUAAGCGCAGAGGUUUCGUGCUUUGUGGUUAGAAUAUGGAGAUAAAAAUACAAAGUUUUUUCAUUAAAAAAAAAAACGUCUCAAAGAAAAUCUAGAAAUUGGGUGGAUACUAUUUGAGAUGAUCAUGUGGAGAAAUUUGAUGAUGAGGAAGACAUUUCUAGAGUUUUUAAUAAUUUCUUUCAGGAUCUUUUCUCCACCAGUCACCCUGAAAGAAUUUCUGAAAUUGUGGAAGUAGUCAAAGAUAGACUGUCGGAUUCUAUAUGUAACAUAUUGGAAAGAGAGUUUACAGAAAAUGAAGUUUUCUUAGCCGCAAAUAAUUUAAAGCCUCAUGUUGUCCCAGGUCCUCACGGAAUGCCAUCUUUAUUUUACCAAUAGAUUUGUGAAUAAAAUAUUCUAACUGUAUUUUAUAAUCAUAUAAAACCAUAAAUACAAGAAUCUUCAAUACUCUUUGAGGCCAACAGAAACUACACUUAAACAUAAUCCACUUCUUGAAACCAUAAAUACAAAACUUUUCAAUCCUUUGAAGUGAAAAUCUUUUAAACUCUCUUGGUCAUCAAAAACUUCUCAACUCGCUACAUCGGAUUCAUAUCUCUUUGAGAGCAAAAUAAAAUUCACUUCCUACUCAUAAAACCAUAAAUACAAGAAUCUUCAAUACUCUUUGAGGCCAACAGAAACUACACUUAAACAUAAUCCACGCCUUGAAACCAUAAAUACAAGACUUUUCAAUCCUUUGAAGUGAAAAUCUUUCAAACUCUCUUGGUCAUCAAAAACUUCUCAACUCGCUACAUCAGAUUCAUAUCUCUUUGAGACGAAAAUAAAAUUCACUUCCUACUCAUAAAACCAUAAAUACGAGAAUCUUCAAUACUCUUUGAGACCAACAGAAACUACACUUAAACAUAAUCCACUCCUUGAAAGCAUAAAUACAAGACUUUUCAAUCCUUUGAAGUGAAAAUCUUUCAAACUCUCUUGGUCAUCAAAAACUUCUCAACUCGCUACAUUAGAUUCAUAUCUCUUUGAGAGGAAAAUAAAAUUCACUUCCUACUCAUAAAACCAUAAAUACAAGAAUCUUCAAUACUCUUUGAAGUCAACAGAAACUACACUUAAACAUAAUCCACUCCUUGAAAUCAUAAAUAUAGGACUUUUCAAUCCUUUGAAGUGAAAAUCUUUCAAACUCUCUUGGUCAUCAAAAAUUUCUCAACUCGCUACAUCAGAUUCAUAUCUCUUUGAGAGCAAAAUAAAAUUCACUUCCUACUCAUAAAAUCAUAAAUACAAGAAUCUUCAAUACUCUUUGAGGCCAAGAAAAAUUACACUUAAACAUAAUCCACUCCUUAAAACUAUAAAUACAAGAGUUUUAAAUCCUUUGAAGUGAAAAUCUUUCAAACUCACUCAGUCAUCAAAAACUUCUCAACUCGUUACAUCACAUCCAUAUCUCUUUGAGAGCAAAAUAAAAUUCACUUUCCACUCACAUGAAUCAACUGGCUGAAAGAAGGGCACAUAUGACACCCACAUAUUCAUCUUUUUAUACUUUUUAUUAAGAUAACGUUUGUAAAUUAUUAUUUUUAAUAUAUAAUUUAAAUGAAUUGUAAAAUAUGAAUAAAAAAAAAAAACAGUCUAAAUUCUUGUAUUCUCUUUAUAUAUUGUGUAGAUGUUUUAACAUCAUUCAAAGUGUAAUUUAGAAUUAUAGACACGCUACACUAAUUGAGAUCAUGGUCACUUUGGAAGAAUUUUCCUAUCUUAAAUACUAUAGUGAAAUCACACAAUUGUAAGGAUUAGACUAACACACAUUAAAUAACUAUGAUAGCUCUCGGUACAUGCAAAUCAAACUACACAUACAGUUAAAUGUAUCGUUUUAAAUUGAAUUUUUUUUUUACAAAGUGCAAGAUCCAAUUUUUGAAGGGACACAAUUAUAACCCUCUUUCAUGUGACCGUUAUUUUCACUUAAUUUGAAUCAUGAAUACAAUGUGUGGGAUCCAUCUAUCUCACCUAGUGUAAUCAUAGCCGCUUUGAUAAAUGAUCCCUGUUUAUGAUCCAAUUGCGAAUUCGCUUAGAGCGAGCCAAUUUUUUUUAGUGAAUUUGCCUUAAAUCUCUAUUUAUGAUUUAGAGUAAUGCUAAUAAGACAUUCUUUUGAAUAUCCACUCUAAUAUUCACUUUUUUAUUCGUUUACAUUUUAAAAAUUGAAUCCAAAUAAAGUGGUAGGAUAUAGAUUGAUUUCAUCUAAUAAAAGAGUGAAUGCUAAAUAGAGUGUUAAAAAAUGAAUGUUACUUGCAUUCCUUUUAUGAUUUAUUGCACAAAACGUAACACUUUAUCUAAAAAAUUAACUUUUACCUAACAUAGAAUCUAUUUCUAACUAACAUACAAAUUAAGGGUGGUCUUAUUUCUAACAUGUGUGACAAGUAUAGAAAAAUGGUAUCCUACAAUAUUUUUAUAGUUAAAAUACAAUUUCAUUAAUAAAAAUUUGACAGUAAAUCAAAAGUUAAGACUGCAAAAAUAUAAGGCGAAGUCUCUUCAAUCCAUUUACAGUCUAGAUUAUGAAGAGUGUAUUGAGCUAAAUAAUGGGUAGCUUGGUUAGCCUCACGCCUAACAUGCAAGAAUCUUAAACUACAAAAAAAGAUAUUAAAAUUAAUGAAGUCUCCAAUAAUAGAUCCAACAUAGUUGGGAUAUUGUUGAUGAGUGUUCAGCUCCUGAAUCACAUUGGAAGCAUCAAAUUUUGCUAUAUGAUUCUGAAAACACAUGUCUUUAGCAAAUUCCAACCCCUUCCGCAUAGCUAAAGCUUCUGCUACAUCCGAAUCUAGUAAUGAAAGGACUUGCCAACAACUAGCAGCAACGACAACACCUUCAUUAUCUCUCACAACAACACCAAUACCCCAUUUAUCCCCCUCGAUCGAGCCUGCUGCAUCAACAUUUAACUUAUAGAAACCACUAAUAGGGGUCGUCCAAUGAACAUUAGAUAUGGUUAAAUUUGGACCUCCGUUUAACAUUUUCAACAACAUUGUACUAGCACUAUUAAAAUUAACAAUGGAUCUUUGUGCCUUUUGUACCGUGGCAACCACAUCAACUUCAGUCCCCUCAAAAUAUUUUUUAUUUCUAGUGCAUCAUAUUUCAUAACACUAGGCCAACACAUUAACUAUAAUAUCCUCAAUUGCAUCAAUAAUAUUUCUUUUCAACCACUCCUGCAAUGGUACGUACCUAGAAGCAUGUGAAUUGAACACCACACCUAAAGAAGAAGCAAACCAUAUUUGCUUUGACCACUGACAGUCCAUAAAGAGAUGUGAAAUUGUCGCAUUAUGUUGCCCACAAAAAACACACAAUGGAUCACAACAAAUUUCUCUUUUAAAAAGAUCAUUUUUGACCGGUAGUUUUUCAUGUAAAAUAAAUGGAUGUGUCUUGGAAUACUUUUUAUUUUCCACAAUUUUUUCCACUCUUGUUGAUCAAUGUCUUGUCCUGAGCUAUGGGAUACAAGUACUUCACGCCUUGCCUCUAAGAAACGGUAUGCACUCUUCACCGAGAAAAAAAAAUAAAAAUAGCAGACCAUGUAGCACCCCUCACAAAAUCAUCUUGUAAUUGCUCGAAAGAAAUUGGCAACUAAAGAAUUUGUUGAGCCUCGAAAGAAAUUGGCAACUGAUAUUUUCAAAACAAAAGAAAAUAAUAUUGUCAUUCUUAAGUGUUUGUUUAGGGUUUUGUAAAAAAAAAAAAUUAAAAAAAUAUCCAUUUUGUCUCUAAUUGAAAAGCUAUUAAAGUUAACUUUUCUAUUUUGUUUUUCAAAGACAAUGAAGUAAAAACUCUUUUUUUUUUUUUAGUGAUUUUUAUGGAUAGUAAACAAACAAAAAUAGUUUCAAUUUUUUUUUAAAAACUUCAAAAAAAUCUCUAAAUUCUUUGAAGAUCAAAACAACUUUUUCAAAUUGUGCUCCUACCUUAGCAGAGUGUGCUCUAUAAACAAAAGAUUAUCAGCUUUUUCGAAAUCUUACGUAAAAUAUAGAAGGAGAAUGAACAAUUCAUCUACAUAGUCGUAUAGUGUCCUUAUUUAUUAUAGGGUUAAUAGUGUUUUUGGCCCCUGCAGUAUAGUGCACUUUUGGUUUUAGUCCUUGUAAAAGUUUUUUUUUAGAUUCCACCCUUGAAAAAUGAAGAUUCUUCAAGAUUGGCCCCUCACCCCAAUGAGUCAGCAGAAUUUCCUACGUGGCAGUGAUGUGUCAAUUUCUUUUCUUUUUUUUAAUUUUUUUUCAUGCCACGUGGCAUUUAUGAUUUUUAUUUUUUUUUAAAAAAUCAAAAAAUUAAUAAAAAAAAUGGAAAACUUAAUAAUGAUUAAAAAAAUCUGGAAAAAUUAUAAAUAUAAUUUUAAAAAACGUGAAAUUUAAAAUCGAAAAAAUCUUAAAAAAUUAAAACAAAACCUGGAAAUUUUAUGAAAAAAUUUAAAAAUUCUGAAAAAAAUAAAAAAAUAAAAAAAUCUGGUAAAAAGAAAAAUAAUGAAAAAAACACUAUUAACCCAAAAACAAUAAUAAUGAAAAAAUUCGGGAAAAAUAAAAUAAAAAUCUGGAAAAAAAUAUUCGAAUAUUUUUUUCGAAUAUAUAUUGAAAUUUUCGAAUAUUUUUCUCCAGAAUAUCAUAUUUAAAAAAACAAAAUUUACGAAAAAAGAUUAAUCAUAUUUAAAAAAACUAACUUUUCGAAAAAAAAUUAUGGAAAAGAUUUAAAUAAAACUUCUUACUUUUGAAAAUAAAAAUAUGAAUUUUUUCCAGAAUUUUUUAAUUUUAUCGGAAUUGAAAAAAAUCUUAAAAUUUAAUUUUUUUUUCUAAAUAUAUUAAUUUUUAGAAAAUUUUAAUAUAUAUUAAUCUUCCCAAAAACAAUAAUAAUGAAAAAAUUCGGGAAAAAUAAAAAAAAAUCUGGAAAAAAAUAUUUGAAAUUUUUUUUCGAAUAUAUAUUGAAAUUUUCGAAUAUUUUUGUCCAGAAUAUCAUAUUUCAAAAAACAAAAUUUUCGAAAAAAGAUUAAUCAUAUUUAAAAAAACUAACUUUUCGAAAAAAAUUAUGGAAAAGAUUUAAAUAAAACUUCUUACUUUUGAAAAUAAAAAUAUGAAUUUUUUCCAGAAUAUCAUAUUUCAAAAAACAAAAUUUUCGAAAAAAGAUUAAUCAUAUUUAAAAAAACUAACUUUUCGAAAAAAAUUAUGGAAAAGAUCUUAUUUAUAAAAGGUCUUAAGUUGUCUUAAACAGCUUUUUGGAGCCAAAAUUUGAGGUUAAUUUGGUCAUUUUAAUAUUGACAUCUCAUUAUUAUUAUUAUUAUUAUUUAAUAUACGACGGAGGUAUCUCGGGGUGCCAACCUAGUUGGGAUGUCGACGACGCCUCUUGAUGCCUGUUUUCACUCCUUGCUUAUCAAAAAAAAAAAAAAAAUUAAUAUUUAAUAUAUAUUUAAGCAAUUGAACAAUAAUCUUAGUUUGUUUGUUUUUUCGUUUUUUUUUUCCUUUCAUAAUUUUAUUUUGUUUUUCUUUCACAUUAUUAUUUAAUAAUAAUAAUUUAGAUUUAAUUAUUUAAUAAUAAUAAUUUAUAUUUAAGCAAUUGAACAAACCUUUGUUAUAUUUAUGCCAUAAACUACUAAAUAUAUAUUUAAGCAAUUGAACAAACUUUCGUUAAAUUUGUGUCAUAAACUACUAAAUACUUUUUUUUUUCUUCCAUAAUCUAAGUUUUUUUUUUUUUCUUCCAUAAUCUAAGUUUUUUUUUUUUGUUUCACCUUUAUUUUAUUUUUUUGAAAGAAUUUGUUUCAGGUUUAUAAUUCUCAUUAUCUUUUUAUUCACAUAAUAUUUUUAUUUAUUUCAGCUGUCAAAGAUACAAGCUUCUAUUAAAAGCAAGGAUUUCAAACAACUUGGAGAUUCUAUUGAAGAGGGUGCUUCAUAUACUAUAGAAAAGUUUUUGGUCCAAUUUAAUAAAGAAAAAUUUAAGCCAACAAAUCACAAAUACAAGCUAACUUUGAUAGGAAGCACUAUUAUAACCAAAACAUCUUAUGAUAAAAUUUCUGCAAAUUUGUUUAACUUCACAAAAUUUCAACACAUUAUUGGUGGUACUGAUAAGGGUGUUUUAAUGGGUUAGUACUUUAUACUAAACUUACAAAUUAAAUAUUAACUUAUUUUUAGAUUUUUAUGAUUUCUUUUUUAUGAUUCUACAACCAUGUUUAUUUGUAGAUGUCAUUGGCCAUGUGGUUGGAACGACUGACAUUAAGGAUGUUCAAGUAAAAGGAAAAAUGACUAAAAUCUUGGACUUGACUCUUGAAGACCUUGAGUUAGUGGAGUUUUUUUUUUUUUUUUUUUUUUUUUAAUCUUUGUUUUAACUACAUAUAUAGAUGUUUUUUUUUAUUAUUUUUCUUACUGUAAUAAAAAUUAUUUUGUAAAUUUCAGGAGCAAUACAAUCAUUUGUACUUUAUGGGGUCAUUUUGCUGAACAAAUGAAUAGCUAUAUGAGCACAAAUGGAAAUACUUUUCCAAUUGUAGUUGUUAUGCAUCUAUGUCGACUUAAUGUUUAUGUUUUUGGUGGUAAUUAGAUUAUCUUUUUAAAAGUAAUUAUUUUUAAUUUCUUUGUAUUGUUAAUGAUAUAUAUCACUUAAUACCUUUUGGUGUAUCAUUUUAAUAGGUAUGUAUGGGAUUGCCAAUGCAUUCAAUGAAACCAAGUUGCUUAUAAAUCCCAACAUUGAAGAAUGUUGCAACUACAAGAAAGGGUAUGCACUAACCUAUCGUUAUUACACAUAUAUUAUAUAUUGAAAAUUAUUGGAAAUUUUUUUUUUGGUUAAGUAUGAUUUUCUUAUAUUUUACGAUAGGAUGAAAACUGGCAAUGCAUCUUUGACCCAAGGGGUCACCCAGAUGACAGCACAAUCUUCACUUUCUUUGUCUAAUGAUCUACUCCAAACAAAAAACAUGACAAUUUUAGAUAUUACACAAGCUAAACAGGUAUACAACUUUAUGCUAAUUUGCUUUGACUUAUACUAUUAUACUAUGUUGUUAAAUAAUUCUUAAUCCAUAUCUUUGUAUUUUCAUUUUCUAAUUAUUAUUCUUUAAAUAAAUUUAAUAACUAUGCAGGUGGGUGCAUAUGUUGUCUUGGCUAAAAUUAUUGGCAUAGACACCAAUAAGAAAUGGUGCUACGUUUCAUGUAAUAAGUGUUUCAAGAAGGUUGAACCUGUUUGUACAAAAUACUUUUGUGAAAAAUGUGAUACAUUAGUCGAUGCUACAAAAAGGUAACAUUUUCCAUAUUAAUUUUUCUUAUGUUUCACUCAUUUCUUUUAAGUUAAACUCAAUUAUUCUUUAUAUUCGGUUACUUAUAUAAUUAGCAAAUCUAAUUUCAAUUUUUUUUUCUUUCUAAUAACUUGCUAUGUACAUGAUUAUAUAAACGACAAGUUGCAUCAUCACCACUUUUAUUCUUUUGGUCACUGAUUUUUUUGGUUAGUGAUUCCUUAUAAGGUUAUUGAAUCUUUCAUGUAUAUUCACUUUUCAUUUUAGGUUUAUGGUGCACAUUCAUGUUAUGGAUGAUAGUGGAUCAACUACCAUUGUGUUGUUUGAUGGAGUUAUUUCACAACACUUUGGAAAGACUACAAAAGAACAAAUGGUAUUGAUAAUGAACUUAAGUAUAUUGUUUUUUUGUAUUUUUUAUGUUAUAUUAUUAAAAUAAUAAACAUUGGUUUUAAUUGUUUACUAAUCCAAAUCAAAAACAGGGAAGGACCACAAAUGAUUAUCCAACCGAGUUUGACACCUUACGUGAUAAGAAAAUGCUUUUCAAACUGGAGAUCAAUCAAAAAAUGUUCAACAGAGGUUUUAUACCUAUGCAGUCAAAAAGAUGUCUGAUGACAAUGAAAUCAUUGAUGAGUUUAAGAAAAAGUAUUAUAUUGAGUGUCAUGCUGCUCCUCCGAAUGUUGAGGAAGAUGAUGUUGAUAUCAUAGGUCCUAUUACUCCUCAAACUGAUGAUAACAUUAAGGUAGUUAAAUAUUCUUUAUAUCUACUUUAAAAGUAUUCAUAAAACUUAUUAAAUUAACUAUUUCUAUAAAUGUUUAUUAUUCAUGUAGCUUCUUGGUGAUGAAGCUAAUUCUAUUCCUAAAGAUACUCAUCCAUCCAAGUCUUUGAGAAAGAGAAACGCCGACUCAGAUGCAACAUAUAUUGACGUUGAUUGUCAAACUCGGUCGUCCACCACUAAAUUGCAGAAAGUUGUCAAAAUUAAGCAAGAAGCUCAAGAUUGUUAUUUUAGCUCUUCUUAGUCUACACUACUUAGAUUUAUUUUGUUUCAUUUUUCUUUUUUACUCAAUAAGUACCUUCUUAAUUGUUAUUUGUUUUGGAAUUUAUCUUCCCAUUUGCUAAUUUGGUUGCUAUAACAUUUGGUACUUUGGUGCAUGUCAUACAUCCAAAAAUAGAAUGCUUAUGUUCUUUUUUGUCCACAUCAAUGUCACUCUAUCUAUAUAAAAAAAAAAAAAAAAUUAUCUCUAUCGAAUGAUGUGGUGGUAACCAAAAAUCACUUGCGUUGGUGACCAAAAUAAAUCACCUUACUUUUUUUUAUUGUGUUUCGUAGCAUUAUCAAUAUCCUGUCUUCAUAUGGUGGCAAAAACUAUAUGCAUGCCUAUUCUUAAAUGAUAACUCAUAUUUUGCUAUAAGCACAAAUAAAUUUUAUGUGAAAAACCAACUUUAAAAAAAUGUUAAUUCAACCAAGUUAUUCAAACUAUUAGCAAGAGUCCUUCUUUUUUAACUUGAAAAGUGAUUUUUUUUACUUCUUAAAAAGGCUAUAACAAAUAGACUCAUAAACUACUAGGUAACUUUUUUCUUAUACUUUUUUAUAUGGUUAUGUAAUUUGUAUUUCUCCUUAUGCCAUUUAAAAUAAUCGUGUAUAAUCAUACAAAUUUAUUUUAUUUCAUGCCAGGUUGAUCAUCAUCUUUAUGAUGAAUUUUCAAUUUGGAAUCAGCAAAAAUCAUGGACACAAGACUUAGUUUUACCGAUUCAAUUGUUGAGAAUUGAUACGUCUUUAUUAUCCACAAAUUUGUAUAUUAUUACUCAAGUCAAACUUAUCUUAGUAGUUGCAUUUGGUUAUCCGAUGUGAUAACGAGAAUUCUAAAUUACUUCAAGUUUUUAUUGGUUUUAUUUUGGACACGUUAAUUCAUUCUCACUUACAACUAUUAUUGUUUCAUUUACGAUUACCUUAUUUAUUAAUCAAUGUCAUAUCUAACUUCCCGUGCAUCGCACGGGUCUAAAUACUAAUUUAAAUAAAACUUCUUACUUUUGAAAAUAAAAAUAUGAAUUUUUUUCAGAAUUUUUUAAUUUUAUCGGAAUUGAAAAAAAUCUUAAAAUUUAAUUUUUUUCUAAAUAUAUUAAUUUUUAGAAAAUUUUAAUAUAUAUUAAUCUUUUCCAGAUUUUUUUUUUAUUUUUCCUGAAUUUUUUCAUUAUUUUUCUUUUUACCAUAUUUUUUUAAUCAUUUUUUAUUUUUAUUAAUUUUUUCAGAAUUUUUAAAUUAUAUUUUUAAUUUUUCCAGAUUUUUUUAAUCAUUAUUAAUUUUUCCAUUUUUUUAAAAUUUUUUUAAUUAUUUUUAUUAAUUUUUUGAUUUUUUUUCGUUUUCUUAAUUUUUUUUAUUUUUAUUUAAAAAAAUCAUAAAUGUCACAUGGCGUUCAUUUACACAUGUGGCAUGAAAAAAAAAAAAAUUUGACACGUCACAGCCACAUAGGAGAUUCUGCUGACUCAUUGGGGUGAGGGGCCAAUCCUGAAGAAUCUUAAUUUUUCAAGGGUGGAAUCUAAAAAAAAAAAUUUGCAGGGGCUAAAACCAAAAGUGCACUAUAUUACAGGGGCCAAAAACACUAUUAACCCUUUAUUAUAUUAGGUAAUUAUGACUACACCAUGAUAUUAUUGUUUUCCAUUUCUUCUAUGAGUUCAUGAUAGCAACAUACUUCCAUAAUAUAACAAUACAUAUGAUCUUUUCAAUGAAAUUGACAACUUAAUCUAUAUUGUAGAACUCAGCACUGCAUUGACAAGAUAAAUUAAUGCACUUCGGAAAUAGAUCAAUUGGACACAGAUCUGGUGGACAUUCAUUGCUAAAAAGGCAUGGAAGAACCUCAGGGAUGCCUAAUAAGAACCAAAUAAAUGUUAAAAUCGGUGAUGGAAUAUUAUAUAUAAAUUAAAGGGUAUUUUUACAUACAUGUUGUUGUUUGAAGAAGUUAAUAUGGAUUUAGAUUAAUCAAAAGACCAACACUUCAAAGUAUAACAAAGUCAACUUAAGAACAUUAUAAGAAACUUCAAAAAUGUUAAACGAACUUUGUUUUUAGUCCUCGUAUAAGAAGUGAUAUGUUUUGAUCCCUGUAUUUUUUUAACAAGUAAUAAAUUAAAUAUUAAUUUUUCUAAACAUCAAAUUUUGACCUAAAAUUCAAAUUUUGAAAUAAUUUUUUUCAGAGGAACUUUGUAUUAUUAUGUUCUAAAUAAAUAUGUCAAGAAUAAUUCAAACGUUUAAAAGUUUAAGUAUAAUUAAUCAAAUUUUAAUUUUACAAGGACAAAAAAUUUAUAUUAUGGAAAAUUUUAUAAGAAACUUAUAAAAUGAUGAAUGAAUUUUGUUUUUAGUCCUUAUAAAAAAAAGUGACAUGUUUUGAUCCUUAUAUUUUUUUAACAUGUAAUGAAUUAAAUAUUAAUUUUUCAAAACACCAAAAUUUCAAGAUCAAAGUACUAAAAUUUUUGAACAAAAAAUCAAAUAUUGAACUAAUUUUUUGUGGAGAUACUUUGUAUGAUGUAAUAAAUAAGUAUGUAAAAAAUCAUUCAAAAGUUUAUGCGUUGAAAAAUUUUAUAAGGACAAAAC
rnacentral:lncRNA from 1 species